rnacentral:rRNA from 1 species
GAGGAAUAUUGGUCAAUGGGCGAGAGCCUGAACCAGCCAAGUAGCGUGCAGGAUGACGGCCCUAUGGGUUGUAAACUGCUUUUGUAUGGGGAUAAAGUCAAUCACGUGUGAUUGUUUGCAGGUACCAUACGAAUAAGGACCAGCUAAUUCCGUGCCAGCAGCCGCGGUAAUACGGAAGGUCCGGGCGUUAUCCGGAUUUAUUGGGUUUAAAGGGAGCGUAGGCUGGAGAUUAAGUGUGUUGUGAAAUGUAGACGCUCAACGUCUGACUUGCAGCGCAUACUGGUUUCCUUGAGUACGCACAACGUUGGCGGAAUUCGUCGUGUAGCGGUGAAAUGCUUAGAUAUGACGAAGAACUCCGAUUGCGAAGGCAGCUGACGGGAGCGCAACUGACGCUGAAGCUCGAAGGUGCGGGUAUCGAACAGGAUUAGAUACCCUGGUAGUCCGCACAGUAAACGAUGGAUGCCCGCUGUUGGUACCUGGUAUCAGCGGCUAAGCGAAAGCAUUAAGCAUCCCACCUGGGGAGUACGCCGGCAACGGUG